UAGGGAAUCUUCGGCAAUGGACGAAAGUCUGACCGAGCAACGCCGCGUGAGUGAAGAAGGUUUUCGGAUCGUAAAACUCUGUUGUUAGAGAAGAACAAGGACGUUAGUAACUGAACGUCCCCUGACGGUAUCUAACCAGAAAGCCACGGCUAACUACGUGCCAGCAGCCGCGGUAAUACGUAGGUGGCAAGCGUUGUCCGGAUUUAUUGGGCGUAAAGCGAGCGCAGGCGGUUUCUUAAGUCUGAUGGGAAAGCCCCCGGCUCAACCGGGGAGGGUCAUUGGAAACUGGGAGACUUGAGUGCAGAAGAGGAGAGUGGAAUUCCAUGUGGAGCGGUGAAAUGCGUAGAUAUAUGGAGGAACACCAGUGGCGAAGGCGGCUCUCUGGUCUGUAACUGACGCUGAGGCUCGAAAGCGUGGGGAGCAAACAGG
rnacentral:rRNA from 1 species